AUACACACACACACACACACACACACACACACACACACACACACACACACACACACACACACACACACACACACACACACACACACACAUACUUACUGGUCACAAGAUUAGGCACACCUAUGCAAUCUAUCGGUAAUGCAAUUUCAGUAUUCGUCUACUGCCACCAAUCACAAAAUCGUGAUCUAUUGAUUUUACUUAGUCUAAGGUGGGUAGAUUAGCCAGUAAUUUUCCUCAAGUUAACCAAAGUAGGUCCAUUACUUUCGUAUCAUAUGAUUCAAGUAAAUGUCAACAGUUGCCUUCCAAAUAAUGACUUUAGUAAAUCUAAUGCGAGCAUGAAUGUCAAAUAGACAAAAAUGUAAAGUAGAAAUGUGCAAAUUCGGAUAUUGCCCAACAAUAUCGCUUGAUCUCAAACAAUUUCUAAUUAUAGCUAUAACGUGGAAGGCAAAUUCAGCCACAGGAAGUGAAUCCUUUUUGCUUACAAAGAGAAAUGGCACAAUUGGUUUGAAAGGUAGAGAUUACAUGAAAAUUUUUUUUCGCAAGUUCCUUGGAGGCUAAAACGUAGACGGCGCAUGACCUUGUUGGUCCAUUUUAAUAUUCUGUAAAGUAAACCUCAUUUCAAUAUGUGUCUGGAGGUUUUCUUGCCUUUUCUGACUACGAGUCACACGCCGUUUUUUCUUUCCUGCAACGUUUCACAAAUUUGCUUCGGUGUUAGGCUGUGGAGGCUUAUGAGUAGUCAAGUGACUGCCAGGCUAUGUUUAGUUGGGGAAAUGGAGUCGCCAGCGGUUACGUUGGAUGAGUGAAAGAGUUGGUCAUCUGACAGCGCCCCAGGCAGAAGUUUCUUUAAAAAAAAAAGGUUGUGCAAGCGAUAAAAAAUAAAUAAUAUAGAGAUGUUGGGUGAACAAACAA